rnacentral:rRNA from 1 species
GACGAACGCUGGCGGCGUGCCUAACACAUGCAAGUCGAGCGGAGGAUAGCUGAUAGGUAACUUGAAGUUGUUCUUAGCGGCGGACGGGUGAGUAACACGUGGGCAACCUGCCUUGGAGAGGGGGAUAACACCGGGAAAUCGGUGCUAAUACCGCAUAACAUACACCUACUGCAUAGUAAGUGUAUCAAAGGAGCAAUCCGCUUUAAGAUGGGCCCGCGUCUGAUUAGCUGGUUGGUAAGGUAACGGCUUACCAAGGCUUCGAUCAGUAGCCGACCUGAGAGGGUGACCGGCCACACUGGAACUGAGACACGGUCCAGACUCCUACGGGAGGCAGCAGUGGGGAAUAUUGCGCAAUGGGGGGAACCCUGACGCAGCAACGCCGCGUGGAGGAAGAAGGUCUUCGGAUUGUAAACUCCUGUCUUCUGGGACGAAAAAUGACGGUACCAGAGGAGGAAGCCACGGCUAACUACGUG